AUAGACCAGGAAGGCCCAACUCAGAUAUACGCAAAUUGUGUACUGUAAACUGUGGGAGGAAUGUAAACAAAUCCAGUGCCCCCAGAGCAGUUGAAGAGAAAGGAUUAAACACUGAUAAACAGAGUGAUGUUACAGUCAAAAACAAAAGAAACUAGUUAAUAUAUUAAGUUAGUGAUGAUACAAAUUAUUUAUUUAAAUAUGAUUUUUGGGUUUUAGAUUAAUAUGGAAAAUUUAUUCAUGCUCAGUGAGAUUUGUUCAACUAUAUAGGAGAAGCAAGGAACCUAUGAGUGCGGACAAUUCAGCACAAAUAAAGUCCUCAAAACAGCACAAAUAUAUGUUUGUGGAUUUAUUGCCAAAAAACUCCAUACAAAAGUUCCCGGCCUUGUCAGAGGCAGUGAGGAUAAAACAAACUGUGAUUGGAUAGACUGAAAA